AUGGAGCAAAGUUGGGGAUGCCUGCCGGUUGGUCCAGGUGAACCUGGCACCAACCCUAUCUAUCUCGCGGAGGCCAAGAUCAGCAAUGCAGUCAUUAAACAUUUGCAUCCGUGCAAAGUUGAAAUGCUCAAUGCUCUUGUCCUCAGCGAAGCGGAGGAGGUUAAAAUCGCCCCCGACAACCACGAGUUGUACGUCAUGGAGCAAUUCUAUGACUACAAGAUGACUGAUGAGCGCCCUGUUGUACAGCAGGCUCAUGAGAUACAGUCGCUCGCAAAAGAACUUGAGUACUUCAAGUGUGUGUUGCCGGACAAAUUUGUUGUCGGAGGCAUCAUUGCCAAGCUUCCACCUUCGUGA
rnacentral:rRNA from 1 species